rnacentral:rRNA from 1 species
CGCCUCUUGAAUUAAUAUAAGAGGUCCAGCCUGCCCAGUGACCCUGUUCAACGGCCGCGGUAUCCUAACCGUGCGAAGGUAGCGUAAUCACUUGUUCUUUAAAUGAGGACUAGUAUGAACGGCAUCACGAAGGUUAUACUGUCUCCUUUUUCUAAUCAGUGAACCUAAUCUCCCCGUGAAGAAGCGGGAAUAUAACUAUAAGACGAGAAGACCCUAUGGAGCUUAAAACAACACAGCACUUGCUAAAAAAACUAAGCAUUCCCGAAUUUUUACUUUCUAGGCAACAUGACUGUAAGUUUUUGGUUGGGGUGACCACGGAGUACAAUAUAACCUCCAUGUUGAAAGAAUUUUUUUCUAAGCCGAAAAUUACACUUUUAAGCAUCAAUAAGUUGACAUCUAUUGACCCAAUAUAUUUGAACAACGAACCAAGUUACCCUAGGGAUAACAGCGCAAUCCACUUCAAGAGCUCCUAUCGACAAGUGGGUUUACGACCUCGAUGUUGGAUCAGGGUUUCCCAGUGGUGCAGCCGCUACUAAAGGUUCGUUUGUUCAACGAUUAAAACCCU